rnacentral:rRNA from 1 species
GAUGAACGCUGGCGGCGUGCCUAAUACAUGCAAGUCGAGCGAACAGACGAGGAGCUUGCUCCUCUGACGUUAGCGGCGGACGGGUGAGUAACACGUGGAUAACCUACCUAUAAGACUGGGAUAACUUCGGGAAACCGGAGCUAAUACCGGAUAAUAUAUUGAACCGCAUGGUUCAAUAGUGAAAGACGGUUUUGCUGUCACUUAUAGAUGUAUCCGCGCCGCAUUAGCUAGUUGGUAAGGUAACGGCUUACCAAGGCAACGAUGCGUAGCCGACCUGAGAGGGUGAUCGGCCACACUGGAACUGAGACACGGUCCAGACUCCUACGGGAGGAAGCAGUAGGGAAUCUUCCGCAAUGGGCGAAAGCCUGACGGAGCAACGCCGCGUGAGUGAUGAAGGUCUUCGGAUCGUAAAACUAUGUUAUUAGGGAAGAACAAAUGUGUAAGUAACUAUGCACGUCUUGACGGUACCUAAUCAGAAAGCCACGGCUAACUACGUG